rnacentral:rRNA from 1 species
GAUGAUCGCUGGCGGCGUGCCUAAUACAUGCAAGUCGAGCGAACGGACGAGAAGCUUGCUUCUCUGAUGUUAGCGGCGGACGGGUGAGUAACACGUGGAUAACCCACCUAUAAUACUGGUAUAACUUCGGGAAACCGGAGCUAAUACCGGAUAAUAUUUUGUACCGCAUGGUUCAAAAGUGAAAGACGGUCUUGCUGUCACUUAUAGAUGGAUCCGCGCUGCAUUAGCUAGUUGGUAAGGUAACGGCUUAUCAAGGCAACGAUGCGUAUCCGACCUGAUAGGGUGAUCGGCGACCCGGGCACUUAGACACUGUCCAGGCUCCUACGGGACGCACCAGUAGGGAAUCUGACGCAGUGGGGGAAAGUCUGACGGAGCAACGGUGCGUGAGUGAUAAAGGUCUUGGGAUCGUAAAACUCUGUUACUGGGCAAGAACAUAUGUGUAAGUUACUGUGGACAUCGUGACGGUAACGAAUCAGGAAGCCACGGCUAACUACGUG